AACAUAUUAUCAAAUAUUAUCGGUGGAAAAUGAAUUAACGAAACUUGAUCAAAACAAUGUUGCUCGUCAAGGCAUGUGGUUAUCAUAUGUCAAAACCAAUCCAAUAAUCAAUAAACCAUCUUCCCACAUUCUAAAUUUAAUUCACCUAGAUUUUCAUAUCAAAACGCUUUUUUUUUUUUCAAUCAAAACAAGGUUGAAACUUCACUAACCUCUAUCCCAAUUUCAGCAACACGCCCGAAACCAACUAUUUAUUAACAAUUAUUCAGUACAGCAGAGUAUAGUACACGGACACUGAAUAAUUUUUAAACGAGCAGAGUAAGCAAACAACAUGA
rnacentral:lncRNA from 1 species